CGGAAGCAUGGAUGAGCGGAAACACCCGCCAGCAUACAUGCCAGUUCUGCUUCUGAAAAUUCAUGACUGAAAAACCUGUUAAACAAAUCUGAGCCUUUG
rfam:Triticum aestivum genome assembly, contig: Triticum_aestivum_CS42_TGACv1_scaffold_472257_6AL